rnacentral:ncRNA from 2 species
CACCUAUCCGAGGGGGGCCCUGCCGAGAGGGCUGAGAUACCGACAGGCAGAUUGCCGGCGCGGUGACCCUUGAACCUGAUCCGGGUCAUGCCGGCGGAGGGACGGAUCUUGCGCAACCA